rnacentral:ncRNA from 1 species
GCCCGUAGAUAAGACGAGCCGAGACCGUGCAUCGGAUCCCUCCCCAAGAGUCGGGUUGCUUGAGCGUGCAGCCCUAAGCGGGAGGUAAACUCCUUCUAAGGCUAAAUAUCGCCACGAGACCGAUAGCGAACAAGUACCGCGAGGGAAAGUUGAAAAGAACUNUGAAGAGAGAGUUCAAGAGUGCGUGAAACCGUUCAGGGGGUUAAACGGGUGGGCCCUCGAAGGUCGAACAAGUCCCCGCUCCCGGCACUUGGUUGUAUGCCCUUAACGCUGCAUGGAGACUGCCUUAAUUGGUGGCUCUCUAGCAUAAGUCGUUCUGCGAUCGCAAUAGCCACGCCAAGGUCCGCAAGUGGGGGGCCUAGUAGGACUCCGCGACCGACUGGGUGUCUGUUACACGGGGCGUCCGUUAGCGAGUUUCGUGGUUACCUUCGCGGGUGCCGCGAUGACGAGCGCGGCGUUUCCCAACAGUACUGCCCGGUCGUGACCUGUCUCCUCCCGGGAGGUGUCGUAGCUUUUUUUUUGUAAAAAGAGAAAAAGUUGCGGUGCUCAACCUGUGGAGGCCCAGAGCGGAGAGUAGAAGUCGGGUCCCACCCGACCCGUCUUGAAACACGGACCAAGGAGUCUAACAUGUGCGCAAGUCGUCGAGAAAUUAUCAAACUAAACUCGCGAGGCGCAAUGAAAGUGAAGCGGCCCCGAUGAGGGUGCAUCCGCGAGGGGUGAUCCCGUCUCGAACAGAGCGGGCGCAACCCCAGGGCGUCCGAAUGCUCGCGAGAUCUUUCCCCCUUAAAAGGGUUUGGUCGAGUCGGCCGGACGAACCCAGAGCGCACACGUUGGGACCCGAAAGAUGGUGACCUAUGCCUGGCCAGGACGAAGCCAGGGGAAACCCUGGUGGAGGUCCGCAGCGAUUCUGACGUGCAAAUCGAUCGUCGGAGUUGGGUAUAGGGGCGAAAGACUAAUCGAACCAUCU